AUCGGAUUACUGGGCGUAAGCGCACGCAGGCGGUCUGUCAAGUCGGAUGUGAAAUCCCCGGGCUCAACCUGGGAACUGCAUUCGAAACUGGCAGGCUGGAGUCUUGUAGAGGGGGGUAGAAUUCCAGGUGUAGCGGUGAAAUGCGUAGAGAUCUGGAGGAAUACCGGUGGCGAAGGCGGCCCCCUGGACAAAGACUGACGCUCAGGUGCGAAAGCGUGGGGAGCAAACAGGAUUAGAUACCCUGGUAGUCCACGCCGUAAACGAUGUCGAUUUGGAGGUUGUGCCCUUGAGGCGUGGCUUCCGGAGCUAACGCGUUAAAUCGACCGCCUGGGGAGUACGGCCGCAAGGUUAAAACUCAAAUGAAUUGACGGGGGCCCGCACAAGCGGUGGAGCAUGUGGUUUAAUUCGAUGCAACGCGAAGAACCUUACCUGGUCUUGACAUCCACAGAACUUUCCAGAGAUGGAUUGGUGCCUUCGGGAACUGUGAGACAGGUGCUGCAUGGCUGUCGUCAGCUCGUGUUGUGAAAUGUUGGGUUAAGUCCCGCAACGAGCGCAACCCUUAUCCUUUGUUGCCAGCGGUUAGGCCGGGAACUCAAAGGAGACUGCCAGUGAUAAACUGGAGGAAGGUGGGGAUGACGUCAAGUCAUCAUGGCCCUUACGACCAGGGCUACACACGUGCUACAAUGGCGCAUACAAAGAGAAGCGACCUCGCGAGAGCAAGCGGACCUCAUAAAGUGCGUCGUAGUCCGGAUUGGAGUCUGCAACUCGACUCCAUGAAGUCGGAAUCGCUAGUAAUCGUAGAUCAGAAUGCUACGGUGAAUACGUUCCCGGGCCUUGUACACACCGCCCGUCACACCAUGGGAGUGGUUGCAAAAGAAGUAGUAGCUUAACCUUCGGGAGGCGCUUACCACUUUGUGAUCAUGACUGGGUGAUG
rnacentral:rRNA from 1 species